ensembl:lncRNA
GGGGGGGGGCAGGUCACAUCACCAGGCCAGGUGAGAAGAAAGGGCACUGACUACAGGCAGAAGCAGCAGUGUGUGAAAAGGCACAGAGGAGAGAAGGCCUGGUCCAUGGGGGGUCUGGGCUGGGAAGGAACCGUGCGGCAGAUGAGGCAGAGGAGGGGAAAGAUGGUCCAUAUCAAGCAGCACAGACCUCUGGAGACACCAAGGGGCCAGUAUAUGGCAAGGGAGACAAAUGACAGAAUUUGAAGAUGCUUGAAUAAAACUGACCAAAGGGGGUUCUUCAAAAAACAAUACGAGAAAGAAAAGAAGUUUUCUCUCACUAGCCAGGAUUUGCACGCCACAUGGAAACACGGGACCUGGAUGUCUCUAAGCCUAUGCUGCCAGCACCUUUCCCUCCACACAGCUCGUGGCCCCUGCCCCAGAGAAUGCUGCAGCCACACCGCCUGGCCUCCAAGCAGAGAAAUAGAGAAUAGCUGUUGAAAUGCUGAAAUGCCUGAAAACUCCCUAAGACGGAGUUGAGGAUUUUCUAAUCUGCAGCUGCCCACUCUCGCUCUGGAUGUUUCUGUUGCAUAAAAUAUUUAUCAAUAACGCUACUUCAUCAGUUUACCAAAUGGCAUCUUUCUGUAUUCAAAGGAGUGUUCAUUACUCAAAAGACCAUCUGUCUAAGAGCUCGAUAGAAGGUUUAAAUAAUCAGGAUCCAGUGAAGAAUGCAUGGCCACAUUAUAUCAAGUCAAAUAUUUACAUUUCUCAGAAUUUUAAAUAUGAAUGUUCUCAUCCAACCAGCCACCAGAAGUCAGACUUAAUUACUCCGCCAUCUUUUUUGGUAUUCUUAUCUAUUUUCAAACCAAUAUAGAAACUACAAUACAAGGAUAGCUUUAAUUUAAGCAAACAGCGCUGCCAAUCACAAGAGUUUAUGUAGCGCCUUCAUUUAGACAAGAAAUAAUCCUAACAGCGGCAGUAUUUUCAACCAGAGAAGCAGUUAAACAGUAUUACACAAAUCAGAAAAAUAUUUGGAAAAACAGCUGAUUCUGCCUUUCUGAGUAUUAAUAAUCAUGGCAGUUCUCGCGGCUGCUACGAUCAGCAGCAGCAGGAGCAGCAGCUAUGCCAGUCCCACUUCAAGGCCAUCUCCAUCAUGCAGACACCGAACCCAGGAUGGGCAAACUCUUCUCCACGGGGGAAGUGAUGGAGCAAGGAAACUCGAGAGAGACACUAACAAAAAAAACUGUUUUCAAAAUGUUAUUUAAAAGAUUGGAAGGAACACUGGGUGUGGCUGCCAGCCUUGUUGACUGCUCCAUGCUGCACUGGGGGCGGAUAACAAACUAACGGAGGAUGAGCUGCGAGUAUCGGAAAAGUAAAUAAAAAUGAAAGGCAGUAUGCCAAAACUGAUCAACAAGGGGUCCUCACAGCAAGAGCUUUAGGAUUUAGAGGGAGUAGAAAAAGGCCCCCGUGGGAGAGGGUGAGCUGUGCGCAGCGCCCCAAAGAAUGGUUCCACUCCAUCCUCACAGAGAGAAAAAGGGCAGAGCACUCCAGGCUACGAAAACCCUGAGGGAGGGUGAUGGAUAAAUAGGUGUGGCUGGAGCCAAGGAUCCCUACUGAAGUUAACAGUGAAAGCGAAGGCUGGAAAGACUACUUAUUUUGCUGAAGUGUUACGCAUUAAAAGCCAGACCAAGAAAGUUUAACUUUAUCUUGAAAAUAACAGGUUUUUAUGUCAGAGAGAGGUUUAGUUUAUAUAAAGUAUUUAGCCCAGUGGGCAGGCAGCCAGGGAGAAAGGAGCCAACGCUGGAUUCAGACAGGGCUUGCUUGCUCCCCCAUCUGCUGUAUUUAUACUCUUCCCCCUGUGGGCAGCUAUUUAAUGUUUUCCUCCCUUUAUAAAACAUCUAUGUCUAAAUCCUCUUCUAUGAUAAAACUCAUUUUAAAAAUUGACCUUUUCUGUUAUUUGUAUUUCCAAUCUCUGUUAUCAGACUAUAAAUUCCUAGAGUUCCACUGCACGUUUAUAUUCGCUAUGGAGCUGGAGCCACCAAGGAGCGACCAAUACAAAUUUUCUAAUUAAGAACAGAUAAGGCAUCGACAAAAUCAAACUUCUGCUAACCCGUGUUCAUUCUUUCAUUCAAGCCUUCAUUAAGCGUGUACUACUUGGCAAGGCCCCAGGGUACGUGAUGAAAGAUACAUAAUGCAUAAACUCUGACUUCAGGAAGUUUAUAAGCUACCCAAGGAGGCAAGAUGAACAAACAAAUCUUCCCACAACAUUGCUUUCAGUUUCAGCUCAAAGAAAAUAUUUAUUUUUUCAAAAGAAUGACUAGGAAGGACCAAAAUGGAUACAUUUUAUUUUAAAUUUCUACCUUGAUCUCCUGUCUGCGCCUCUGAGAGACAGAUGUUAACAAGUGCUAAAAUUAUUUAAAUGCAGUCACCAAAGGAAACCAGAAAAGAAGGAAAAAGGAGGAAAGAUCUGUAAGUUAGAUAUAAGAUACAGCACAUCAGUGGCAAGGCAGUCUGGAACGUCAAUAACAGGACCAAGAUGUCCACAAUACAAAGGAGAGUGGCCCACACAGGAAAAGAUAUGGGCAAGUGGCUGUGCCAAGACAAGGGGUUAUGAAAUAAAAUAUUUACAUUUAAAGUUCUAUUUUUAACAAACUUUAAGUCAACCUCUCCAAUACCAAAAGCUUCAAGAGGAAAACUCAUUCCACAAUGCUUCCCUAAAAAUAGUGCCCUUUAUUCCUUCUCAGGAUACCGCUUAGAUUUCCCUGCAGUUCGCUUUUGCAAGAACACUGGUCUGAUGAAGAAUGAAACAGUUACCUAUUUUAACUAGAGUGCACUAUUUGCACUAUUUAUGUGAUGCCUGCGUCUCUUGACACUGUGGCCCACAUGAGGAUGUUUUCCUUCUAGAAAUGUGAUCUGCAUCUAGGCCAUGUUUGGUGCGCCGUGGCCUUGCAGCUGCUGCUGGAGAGCUGGAUGUUGUUCCCAGGCAUUCCACAGAGUUUGUCAGUUUAAUUUUAUCUAACAGGCUAAAAAAGGUACAAUUAUUUUUAUUAAAAUAACAAUAAGGAAAUAAUUUCCAAUGAGGAAUGUCUAAGCGAGAGGUUCUGCACACCAGGCAUUUGUGUCUGUAAUUAGCAAAAUCAGAUGCCCCUCUUUUCUCUCUCUAGUAAGUAUUUGGCUUGCUUCCUUGUAAUAACUGCCUAUGGAAUAAAAGCAAAUAAGCUAAACCAGAAAUUGAGUUUACAAAUUUAUGUACAUUAAUUAGUCAACUCUGGCAGAGGCUUUUACUUUAAAAUCAGAUACAACACAAGCAUCUGAAAAAUGUCUAGGCUCCAAAUCACACCCUAAUCUCAGCAGGACUGAGAAAACAAGACACACUUGCAUCAAACGAGUGAAAUCACCCAGCGGAACAGAUUUAUCUUGUAGUUUUGUUACCCCCACCCCGGACCUAAAAUCAAAUAGAAAGUGUUUCAGACUCAACAAUUCGCCUCCAGGAUAAUUUAGGCCAGAGUGGGAAAGCAGGUAUUUCUGGAGGAAAGUCUGAAGGUAAGUGGACCCACAAGGACACGCUUCGUCUAGCUACAGCUAACCUGGAGCAACAGAUGAACCUCCGGGUGGGUGAGCAAGCACAGGCCGACCGCUCAUCACAACUGCUGAAGACAGACUCUAACCAAAGGCCACAGACCGCAGAACCUCAAAUUGCUCUGCCACAUACGAGCUGUCACCGAAAUAUUACUAAGUGCAAGACAAAGCAGACGGCUGAUACACAAUCCACCUUUUUCAACUCCCUCUGACAAAACCCCAUUUCUGCCAAAUGUAAUCUAAUAAUUUGCAUAUGUAAGGGUAAAGGUCUAGACCAUGACAUCAGCUUUACAGAAAAUCCGCAGACUCAAAAAAGAACCAACUAGCCCACUCAGUCUUCGGAAAUUCCAAAUAAAUGAAAAGAUGAAAAGCACAUAACAGCAGGAGAUAUCGGACUCUACAUUCCCAGUCCUAGAAAGCACAAAAAAUAUUUCUAAACAAAACCAUUCUGUGAAUUCCCCACUAUAGAGAUG